GGCUGCUUGGUCUAGUGGUAUGAUUCCUGCUUUGGGUGCAGGAGGUCCUGGGUUCAAUUCCCAGAGCAGCCC